GACGAACGCUGGCGGCGUGCUUAACACAUGCAAGUCGAACGAUGAAGCUGGAGCUUGCUCCGGUGGAUUAGUGGAGAACGGGUGAGUAACACGUGAGCAAUCUGCCCUUGACGCUGGGAUGACUGCGGGCAACUGUAGCUAAUACCGGCAACGAUGCACGAAGGCAUCUUCAGGUCUGGAAAGAAUUUCGGUCAAGGAUGAGCACGCGGCGUAUCAGCUUGUUGGUGAGGUAAUGGCUCACCAAGGCGACGACGGGUAGCCGGCCUGAGAGGGUGACCGGCCACACUGGGACUGAGACACGGCCCAGACUCCUACGGGAGGCAGCAGUGGGGAAUAUUGCACAAUGGGCGAAAGCCUGAUGCAGCAACGCCGCGUGAGGGAUGAAGGCCUUCGGGUUGUAAACCUCUUUUAGCAGGGAAGAAGCGAAAGUGACGGUACCUGCAGAAAAAGCACCGGCUAACUACGUGCCAGCCGCCGCCGUAA
rnacentral:rRNA from 1 species